AAAUAAUAUAUGGAAAAGCAUUUUUUUAACUGUAAAACCAUACAUAAAUAUCCUUUGUCACUUUUCCCAGUGCAUGACACACUGGGUCAUUAAACAUCUAUUGGAUGGGUGGAUGGUUGGAUAGAUGGACAGACAGAUUAACAGUUAGGGGGCCAGUAUGAGUGACAAGAGGAGAACUUGGCAUAUGGAAAGCAUGAUGGAAGCCAGAAAAAGGAGAGACUUCCCAGAAGUAGGAGGAGGCUUGUUGAUUCAUCCACAGUGUCACAUGCAGUAGAGCAGGCAGGAGAAUGAGGGGGGAAAAUCAUUUAACCUGGGUGGAAGGAAAUCACUGGUGACCUCCAGCUGAUUCCUCCUCAGCCUUUUCAUGUUAUCUGGGCUUUCAAUGACAUGCCUUAAUUGUAACUUAAUCACUUUACUGAUUUCUAUCUUUGGGGGGGGCGGAAAUCAAAUUGAUUUGCACAUAUGGCAAAAUUGGUAAGAUUACUCCAGCUGCUGCCAGCAGGUGCUGACAAGUAAAGAACUGAAUGUCAGAGAAUAAGAAAAUACACUAAACAUUUAUUUUAAUAAGGCCUAGAAACCUUAGUUAUUUAAUAAAUUGCCAUGGAUAAUUGGUUUCAGUUUCUAGAGUUGUUUCAUCUUUAACUCCCUGUGUUCCAGAAGGAAUCGUGCUGGAUGUGUAGACAGGGCCUUGUGGUUUGAGACCUAUCUGAGCUAUCACACAUUUCUCUGAGCAUUUUCCUGUCUCUCUGAUCACACCCCACUUCCUGCCACCACUCCCAGCAUCCACCUGGGAUAGGUCACUCUGACAUACACACACACACACACACACACACACACACACACACACACACUCACUAUCCAAGCUGCCAGUCUUCUUAUUGGCUCCUCCUCCAGCGAGGAGGUUUAAGCCUCACCUCCCUGCUGGGCCCUGAUCAAGCUGGUCUGUUUGUGUAUGAAUCUUGGGAGUGAGUGGCCCAAGCUGGAUCUGAGCCCAGCAUUUAUCAUCUCAGCGCUGCCUCCCACAGAAGAAGGAAGACAUAAUGAAUAAAUGAAACCCCAUGACUGUAUCAACAUUCAUCAACCCAUUACUCCAAACGUGGCUGAUAAAAUUGGGUACCUGGAUUAAAA
rnacentral:lncRNA from 1 species